GGCCGCCGGGACUGAGCGAGCGACAGACGCGCCACCCGCCGACGCUGCAGCCGCUUGGGGUCCGCACGGACCCUCUGCCUGAGUACAGAAUGAGCCAAGGGGAUUCAAACCCAGCAGCUAUUCCACAUGCAGCAGAAGAUAUUCAAGGAGAUGACAGAUGGAUGUCUCAGCACAACAGAUUUGUCCUGGACUGUGAAGACAAAGAGCCUGAUGUACUGUUUGUGGGGGAUUCCGUGGUGCAGUUAAUGCAGCAAUAUGAGAUAUGGCGAGAACUUUCUUCCCCACUUCAUGCACUGAAUUUUGGAAUUGGGGGAGAUACAACAAGACAUGUUUUGUGGAGACUAAAGAAUGAGAACUGGAGAAUAUUAAAGCUAAGGUCAUUGUUGUCUGGGUAGGAACAAACAACCAUGAAAAUACAGCAGAAGAAGUAGCAGGUGGAAUCGAGGCCAUCAUCCAACUUAUUAACACAAGGCAGCCACAGGCCAAAAUCAUUGUAUUGGGUUUGUUACCUCGAGGUGAGAAGCCCAACCCGUUGAGGCAAAAGAAUGCCAAGGUGAACAAGCUCCUCAAGGUUUCCCUGCCGAAGCUCACCAACGUCCAGCUCCUGGACACAGACGGGGGCUUCGUGCACUCGGACGGUGCCAUCUCCUGCCACGACAUGUUUGAUUUUCUGCACCUCACGGGAGGGGGCUACGCCAAGAUCUGCAAACCCCUGCAUGAACUGAUCAUGCAGUUGUUGGAGGAGACCCCUGAGGAGAAACAAACCACCAUCGCCUGACUGGCUCCCAUCAGUGUUACUUGCACCCCAGCUUCCUCAGAUCAGUUAUAUCACUGGCACUACAGAAUCCUUCUCUUUCCUAAGGCACUUUGCAUUGUAGAAUGUUCCUGGAUGUUCAUAUCUAGUGUUUGAAGGGGAGGAGGGAUUUAAACUGGUCCUGUACAUAGAAGGUUGGUUUGACACAGGAGACAAAUUAGCCAAGGAAGAUUGUUGUUUAAAUUCGUUUGAAACCAGAAGGGGACUUUUUAGUUGUAUGUGUGGCACACUCAUUGAAUUAUCACAGUUUUUCCUAGGACAACAUCGAGACUAAGGACGGAACAAAAUGAAGAUUUUUUUUUUCAUGGCCUUUCUUUCUAUGGAUUAUGUCAUAUAGAGUAACGAUCAGGAUCCACACCUACUUGGUUUUAAUACAGAUGUCUUUUCCAGUUUUUAAAGUUCAUAAUUUAGCCCUUUGUUUUUAGUUUGCUUUACUCCUAUGUAUUCGCAACAUUUUCUUAACAUACAGCAUCAGAUUGAACGUGCUUGUGAUUCAGAUAUAGGAGAUGCUAUGGUUAACAAGUGAAUUUGUUCCACUCUCUUAAUCUUUCCCAUGUUUAGCAGUAGAAGAAAGGUUUUGCCCCAUUUGGGGGACUCUAUGGAGGGUAUUAUUUUUAUGCUGCUGAAUAUCAUGUCUAUAAUAGACCCACGCAUGCAGCCUUUCCUCCCUAUUUCCCCUCAUCCCCUCUUUGUUUUUUGGGGGGGGGUCCUUGUUGACAUUACAGGCUUUUAACACAUUUUUGACCUAGGAGCUCUGUUGCUGGAAGUGUAAGUCCCCAGCCAGUUACUCUCAUGAUGAUAGUACUGAUGUGCAGCUCAUUCUCGUGUGGUGCUCUGUGCGUAGUCUCUGUAGUGCUGUCCAGGUUCGGAGUUCUGGUUUGGUUUGGUUUGUUUUUCCCUCAAGAUGUUUUACACUUUCCUCUUUUGGAAAAAAAAAAAAAAA